CAGUGCAUCUGUAUUUAAAUGUACAUUCCACAUAAUGGAGGAAUCUACUGUAGCUCAGAAACAAUAACCACGUGACAAAUAACCUUGUUUGUAAGUAAUAGUGUGAAGGAAUGAGGUUGAACAAUUUGGCUGUGCUUUGUCCUACAACUUGUUGUUCCAGCUGGAUACCAAUCUUGUCUUAGUGUCCUACAAUACAAAAAAAUGCAAGGUGUGUUCAAAAGCAGUUUAAAGUAGGUUGUGGCUGAAAAAGCCUUGUGUCAUUGUUGUAACACUCUCAGCUGACUACGUGUAUCAGGCCCAGCCAUGGAUACCUCUUCUAUGGGUCGUUGUGUUUUCUUUCUGGUUCUGGCUUUGAUUUUUGAUGUUGUUGGUUUGAUCCUGUUUUUCUUGGGGAUUUUUGCUCCAUUGAAUUUCUGGGACUUCUUUGUAUUGUCAGGUCCAUUGCUCAUCUUCCUGAGCCUGGUGUUCUGGAUAUUCUGGUACCUAGGGAGUCUCACUAUCCCCUACGAAGAGCUUGUCUUACCAAAGUGACACGCAAACAUAGUAAAAAGUGAACUGACCAGUGGCUGGUACCUUGGACUUUGUCUUAUACUUGGACUGGAACUGAAGCGAAACUCAAUAACAAAGGAGAUGACCUAAAGAAUCCUCAAAAACUCAAUGACAUUUUUAAUUUAUUAUGAGAUUUUUGUCAUUUGACCUUCAAUGGAGUGUAUAAACACAAAAUGGUAGACGACAUAUAAAUGGUCCGCGAUGACUGAGCUCAAGACUUCAAACUUCAGGGAAUUGCCCAGAUUCUGAAUAUUUGACAUUUGGUUGUCUUUUGACAAGCUUUUUGUGUACCUUUCUGAGGAUAAUGAUGGUGAACAAUGAGGAAGAAAUUAUUUAAGGCUAGUUUUAAAAAGACAUUGGUUGGAUAUGAAGAAUGACAAUUUGCUCCUUAUUCUACCCCUGGUGUGCCAGUUAAACUGAAAUGUUUUCAUGUAUGGGCAGAAACAAUUUCAUCCCUGCUGUGUUGGAGAGGAGCAACUCUAAAGCACUUUGGACAGUCAGCAAGCAAUCAGCAUGUGCUGUAUAUUUAACAUAUUGGGUUAGUUUCUGUUCUUAAAUACACAUUUAUGUUUUGUAAAUGUUUGUUUUGUCCUGAAACAAAAAUGCCAGCCAGAAAGAUGCUUUAAAAAUGUGACUCAACCUUGUAAAUGACAAGUCAUGAGUCUGCCUGAAACCAGUAUAAAUGACCAAUGUUGGUUUUGCUUGAGGAAGUUAAAAAGAUCAAACUAACCAUGAGUGAAAACCAACCAGCCAUCAUUAUUCGGCAAUGACGAAGGCAUUUCUAAACAGACGCUAGCAGGGAGACAAUGCAGCGGAAUUGUUUGACUGACAUGGAGUCUGGGUGGCUGUAGCUCCAUCUGAUGCCCUCACUGAAAGUGUUAUUAAUGUGUCCAUUUGGCUGUGGCCCCGGUCAGAGGAAAUGGAGAAGCAGCAUUAGAGCAGCUCACUUCAGGAGCGGUGGGAGGGAAACCAUGCUGCUCAGACCCUCACGGGACAGUGGAUUUCCUGCUAAUGCUGGAUUUCAGGUUGUCAUGGCGGCCUGAGUCAUAAACAUCAAUUGCACAUUAUCACCUCACACAUCAGUAGGAUAAUAUGAUGAGGCAUUGAACUAAACAAGUUGGAGGUGAGGCAAGAUCUCAGUUGCUUGUUUACACAUGGCUUACAAUUAUGGAUUUGCCCAUCAACCUGAUGCAAUAUUCCCUUCUCAUACAAAAGGGAUGUCUUGGAACCAACCCAGUACCCCCUGUAAAUAGCAACGUUAAUGUUAUUUGUAUGAUUUGCAAGUAUUCCUUGUUAUUGUUAUUCAUAUCACUGUGUUCAAAUCCAUAUAGUCAUAUGCUUGUGUUACUACUUUCUAUAAGACUUUUUUCCAAUAUACAUAUUUUGAGAAAUAAAGUGAACAUUUAACUGUUUGUCUAUACCAGUUCAUGAAGAAACAACUGACAUUGUAUUUGAUCAACCAUUACAAAACAAUAAUCCCUUAUUGCUUUUGUUUGAGAGAGACAGAAACAUUGGUCAGAGCCAGCUCCUUGGUUGUUGCACUAUAUGCAUUUCAAGAUAAAAAAACAAAGCAAUUGGAAGACUGUCCAUAAUCUAUUGAUCAGUAAUUAUUCCAUUACAUUAUUUCUAAAUACCUUUGGUACAGUUAAUAGUAUUUUUCCCCCAUCUUGUAAAUAUUGUAAAUAAAAUAAGAGGAGCAUGUCUCCCUCCAGUGGUGGCUAAAUAUUCAUACUGUCCAUUUGUAUCUGUGGUCUUGUCCAGAACACCACCAAAUGUAAGCAAGUUUGAAAUGAUUCAGUUUUAAACAAAUAUAUUUUAUUUUAUUUUUGG
ensembl:lncRNA